GACGAACGCUGGCGGCGCGCCUAACACAUGCAAGUCGAACGGAGUCAAGAGGAGCUUGCUUUUCUUGACUUAGUGGCGAACGGGUGAGUAACGCGUGAGUAACCUGCCCUGGAGUGGGGGACAACAGUUGGAAACGACUGCUAAUACCGCAUAAGCCCACGGAUCUGCAUGGAUCUGCGGGAAAAGGAUUUAUUCGCUCUAGGAUGGACUCGCGUCCAAUUAGCUAGUUGGUGAGGUAACGGCCCACCAAGGCGACGAUUGGUAGCCGGACUGAGAGGUUGAACGGCCACAUUGGGACUGAGACACGGACCAGACUCCUACGGGAGGCAGCAGUGGGGGAUAUUGCACAAUGGGGGAAACCCUGAUGCAGCGACGCCGCGUGGAGGAAGAAGGUUUUCGGAUUGUAAACUCCUGUCGUUAGGGACGAUAAUGACGGUACCUAACAAGAAAGCACCAGCUAACUACGUG
rnacentral:rRNA from 1 species